rnacentral:rRNA from 1 species
GACGAACGCUGGCGGCGUGCUUAACACAUGCAAGUCGAACGAUGAACCUCGAAAUGCCCUCUUCGGAAGGAUUUUUGGGAGGAUUAGUGGCGAACGGGUGAGUAACGCGUGAGCAACCUGCCUUAGACAAGGGGAUAGCCUCGGGAAACCGUGAUUAAUACCCUAUGAGACUCCACUUACGCGUGUAAGAGCAGUUAAAGCUAUUGCGGUCUAAGAUGGGCUCGCGUCUGAUUAGCUAGUUGGUGAGAUACAAGCCCACCAAGGCGACGAUCAGUAAACGGGUUGAGAGAGAGAACGGUCACAUUGGAACUGAGACACGGUCCAAGCUACUACGGGAGGCAGGAGAGGGGAAUAUUGCACAAUGGGGGGGGAACCAUGAUGCAGCGACGACGGGUGAGCGAUGAAGGAAUUCGUUUCGUAAAGCUCUGUCCUUGGAGAAGAUAAUGACGGUAACCAAGGAGGAAGCACCGGCUAACUACGUG